ACGCUGGCGGCGCGCCUAACACAUGCAAGUCGAACGAGAGAUGAAGAGCUUGCUCUUCAGAUCGAGUGGCGAACGGGUGAGUAACGCGUGAGGAACCUGCCUCAAAGAGGGGGACAACAGUUGGAAACGACUGCUAAUACCGCAUAAGCCCACGGCUCGGCAUCGAGCAGAGGGAAAAGGAGUGAUCCGCUUUGAGAUGGCCUCGCGUCCGAUUAGCUAGUUGGUGAGGUAACGGCCCACCAAGGCGACGAUCGGUAGCCGGACUGAGAGGUUGAACGGCCACAUUGGGACUGAGACACGGCCCAGACUCCUACGGGAGGCAGCAGUGGGGAAUAUUGCACAAUGGGGGGAACCCUGAUGCAGCGACGCCGCGUGGAGGAAGAAGGUCUUCGGAUUGUAAACUCCUGUUGUUGAGGAAGAUAAUGACGGUACUCAACAAGGAAGUGACGGCUAACUACGUG
rnacentral:rRNA from 1 species